ACAGCCAGCACCUUGGCGAUGUAAGGGAUCAGCGGCAGGUUCAGGAUCAGCAAGAUCACAUUGCCCACAUACAUGGAGAUGAUCACGGACCAGAAGAUCUCCGGUUGAUCUACCAUCAGGCGAGGACC
rnacentral:ncRNA from 1 species